UUACACCACCAUUUCUUUAGACAAAAAUACAUAUACCAACAUAAUCUUGUUUUAAGUUUUAAUGUUUAUUUUCCCAAGACAGCCUAGCCUGCAUUCUACUUGGAUAAAUUUCACAAGCUAGUUUUCUGCUGCAUCUAGUUAAACUUUUAACCAUGUUUCUUGAUGACAAGGAAUGCUGCAAAAAUACUCUAGUCCAACAAAGAGUUAUGAUCACAAAAUAAUUUGUAUCCAUUCUACUGCAUUUCAGAAUUACCAGCGGAUUUAAAAAAAACACAAGGUAGAGAUAUAGAUGCUAAUGGUGGCUAACCUGGUACGUUUUCUUACAGCAAACUGUUGAUCAUGCAACACUUGUGCUCAAAGGGGAAGGCACAGCAUUUCCUACAAUGAGCCACCUUAUAAAGAGUUUUCUUUUUGUACAUAUUUGUAAUGUUAUCUUUAAUUUAGUGUGCAGAACCUCAAAUUGAGGUAUUAUUCCAAUUACAAAAACCACUUGCAUUUUCAUGCAAGUUAAGAAUACAAAGUUCUCUCUAAAGUGGCUCAAAAUAGAUUGUUCAUGGCUGUCUACAUCUAAAGAUAAAAGUCUAGAACAAUUGGACAGAUUAGGUGGUAUCAACAGUGUUCAAACCAUGACUUGAUUUGUACAUCUAUUCACAUCUCCAAUCUUUUCAGCAGUACAUAUGCACCAAAUUUUAUUUUGAGGUUUCCAUAUCAUUUUCAUAGAAAACAAAGUUGAAAACAAUUAACAUUGAAACACAGCACGGUAUUCUACCACAACAGAAACAGCUGGUUACAGGACUCAACAAAAUCUAAAAAUGAGCUAUGCUGUAGAUUACCGCAUGCAAAAAUAGCUUUGUGUCACCUCUGAAAAUGAAAAGAUGAUAAACAUUGUUUUCUAGUAUUAUGAUAAUUUUUGUGUACUGCAACACAAUAGUUAGAAGAGGGAAAUGUAUGGAUUCCAUGCAAAAAUCUACACAAAAUAGUUUUGAUAUGGAAAACUUUUUUUUGUAAUAAUGAGCAAUCAUCUGGUGCAAAUGCACAGGGAAGCCUUCCUCAAUGUUUUCUGACUUUACAAGCAACUAGUAAUAAGCCAUACAGGAAAUAAAAUAACUAAAACUGAAAGGGAUAAAAUAAAAUAAAAACACAGGCUGCAGGAGUAAAACCAUAGUCUGCUGCUAAACCGGUCUCUUUUUUUGUGUGUCCAGUGUUAUAACACUUAUGCACUCCUUUUGAUGAUUGACUAGGGUUAUUAUCAGCCCCCUGAAGGCAAAUCAAGCUUGCAUGCAUUCACAUACAGCAUCACAACCAUACUCUCGUACACACCCCACUCCAAGACUAGGAGUCUGCUUUAUGAGCUAAAGAGCCCUAGAUUUGAAAAACACACGUGGCCCCACAGCACUGAGUCCAGACAUUCACUCAAUGUUGUCCAUUCACACGGUGCUUCAUUAGCAAGGCCUGGGCUCAUUCUCCUUGGACUUAUAUGGGCAUCCUAUUCUCCUUUAUGCUUACAUGGCUUGAUGAUAGAAUAGUACUGCAUUUUCCCCACAAUUGCGCUAAUUAAAUCAAUGUCCCUCCUCAGGCACUGAAUUUCUUUGACCUGUAGCCCUUUUCCUUUGAACAACCUAUAUAAGCAUUCAGUGUGAAGUUUUUCAUUACAUUUUGCCACUCACUCUCACUCGCACCCACUCGCCAUCUU